UUUACUGUCUCUUACUUCCAAUCCGUGAAAUUGACCUUCCCGUGAAGAGGCGGGAAUACAACAAUAAGACGAGAAGACCCUAUGGAGCUUUAAUUAACCAACCCAAAGAGACCCAUUAAUUUAACCGACAGGAACAACAAACCUCUGUAUGGGCCGACAAUUUUGGUUGGGGUGACCUCGGAAAACAAAACACCCUCCGAGUGAUUUAAAUACAGACUAACCCGUCGAAAGUUUUACUUCACUUUUUGAUCCAAAAGUUUGAUCAACGGAACAAGUUACCCUAGGGAUAACAGCCCAUUCUUUUUUCAAAGUCCAUAUCGACAAUAGGGUUU
rnacentral:rRNA from 1 species